CCUACGGGUGGCAGCAGUGAGGGAUAUUGGUCAAUGGACGAGAGUCUGAACCAGCCAAGUCGCGUGAAGGAUGACGGCCCUGUGGGUUGUAAACUUCUUUUGUAUGGGAAUAAAGUGUUCCACGUGUGGGAUUUUGUAUGUACCAUAUGAAUAAGGAUCGGCUAACUCCGUGCCAGCAGCCGCGGUAAUCCGGAGGGUCCGAGCGUUAUCCGGAUUUAUUGGGUGUAAAGGGAGCGUAGGUGGAUUGUUAAGUCAGUUGUGAAAGUUGGCGGCUCAACCGUAAAAUUGCAGUUGAAACUGGCAGUCUCGAGUACAGUAGAGGUAGGCGGAAUUCGUGGUGUAGCGGUGAAAUGCUUAGAUAUCACGAAGAACUCCGAUUGCGAAGGCAGUUCACUGGACUGCAACUGACGCUCAGGCACGAAAGCGUGGGUAUCGAACAGGAUUAGAUACCCGUGUAGUC
rnacentral:rRNA from 1 species